AACGAACGCUGGCGGCAGGCCUAAUACAUGCAAGUCGAACGCUCCAGCAAUGGAGAGUGGCAGACGGGUGAGUAACGCGUGGGAACCUUCCCAGUGGUACGGAAUAGCUCAGGGAAACUUGAGGUAAUACCGUAUACGCCCCUCGGGGGAAAGAUUUAUCGCCAUUGGAUGGGCCCGCGUCGGAUUAGCUAGUUGGUGGGGUAACGGCCUACCAAGGCGACGAUCCGUAGCUGGUCUGAGAGGAUGAUCAGCCACACUGGGACUGAGACACGGCCCAGACUCCUACGGGAGGCUGCCUGAGACGCCAAGGCACACAGGGGAUAGG
rnacentral:rRNA from 1 species